AGUGAACGCUGGCGGUAGGCCUAACACAUGCAAGUCGAACGGCAGCACAGUAAGAGCUUGCUCUUAUGGGUGGCGAGUGGCGGACGGGUGAGGAAUACAUCGGAAUCUACCUUUUCGUGGGGGAUAACGUAGGGAAACUUACGCUAAUACCGCAUACGACCUUCGGGUGAAAGCAGGGGACCUUCGGGCCUUGCGCGGAUAGAUGAGCCGAUGUCGGAUUAGCUAGUUGGCGGGGUAAAGGCCCACCAAGGCGACGAUCCGUAGCUGGUCUGAGAGGAUGAUCAGCCACACUGGAACUGAGACACGGUCCAGACUCCUACGGGAGGCAGCAGUGGGGAAUAUUGGACAAUGGGCGCAAGCCUGAUCCAGCCAUACCGCGUGGGUGAAGAAGGCCUUCGGGUUGUAAA
rnacentral:rRNA from 1 species